rnacentral:misc_RNA from 1 species
UUCCCUUUUUUUUUUUUGGGUCCAUACAGCCUGGGAAAUUUCAAAUCUUUGUUAAUCACAUUAUAGUUGCUCAUCCCCAUUGGCCAUCGCACCCACUCACAACUCACAAGCCAUAUGUUGUGCCAAAAUGAAACCAAGUUCUUUAAAAAUGGACAAAAAUGGCAGAGGAUAAAAAAGGCAGGAACAAGGGAAAAUACAUAAAGACCAACAGAAAUCUACUCAGGGCAAAAGGGCCUGUCCAAGGCACCCCUGUGGCUAGGAAUGGUGAAGUGCCUUAACCUCCCUUCCUGUUUCUUCAUAUACCCUUCACAGAGAAAUACCUUAGAAAAUGUAUCUUCCACUUCUCUAUUCACAUCAUGCACAAACACCUCAGUUUCUUCUCCCUCUGCCCUGUUCCUAGCCAUCAUUCCUGCAGUAUAUAUAGCAGUCAUUCUUCCUGGUGCCUCUUCAUAGUAACCUGUAGGUGCAUCAACCAUGAUUAAAUCCCAUUUUAUGUCAUAAACUUCAUUAGGCAAGCCUUUCAAGGCAAGUUGGCACAUAGAGAACUUGGGAUCACUGACUGCUGUGCACUCAGGUCCUCUGCCUACCUCCAUGAGAUUGUUUGCUUCGUUCACCUUACUAUCAUAGGUCACAUGAUAGGACUCUAACAUGGGGAACCUUCUCCUAAUUUGUGAAAUCCAAGCCUCAUCUUCUUCAAGGAAAAUUGUUCUUCCUCCAUAGUUUAGUGUACUCCACAUAAGACUGUCAUGACCAAGCCCAAAAACCAAGAAGUUGCAUGGAGAUUUCUUCUCUAAAACUUUUGCUGUUGCUGAGAUUUCUUUAAGUGUUUGUUGUGGUGUAAUGGUUGAGGUUGUGUAAUGGAUGAGAGCUUGAGCUAGGGACCGUGGGAUCUUGUUGCAAGUUGGGGAACAGCUUGUUGCAUUUGCUUCAUCAUGUUUUGGGAUUUUGGAUUUAAAGGUACUUGAACUAGGAGAUGGGUUUUCCUUGGAAGAAGAUGAUAUAUUUGAUCUUAACAAAAAUAACAGAAAGAAAGCAAGGAAGACACCAAAGAGGAGAAGCUUAAAGUUGGGGAUUUGUUGGCUUUUAGGCCUCAUGUUUUUUCUGCCUCAAGAGGUGGUCUUUUGCUCUUCUUGGGUUUGAAAGGAAGAAAUGGAGAUUGAAAUUUGAGAUUUUGAAGGUGAAUUCAAGGUUAUAUUUUGGUGGUUUGUAGUUGGAAGAAGAAAAGGAGGUGAGUUGAGAUGUAGAGAAUAGAAGGUAGUGCGAUUGCAUGUUGAUGCUUAGACAUGAAGGGAAGAAAUAUUGGGUAAUUGAUGAGGACAAGAUAGCUUCUAAGUUUUUGGAGGAAGCAAAAUUAUGGUUGGUAGAUCUACAAGUUUGGUGGAGUGUUGUAGACUAUCCAACAUUUGAUUUGUUCAUUUGUGUUGAAUUGCUUUUAUUUCUUGUUUCACGGCUGAUGUUAAAUGGG